CAAAACCCUCUUCCUUGUUCGCGCUCCUAAACCCUUUUUCCCACGAUCUAUUUCAUCUCAUCCUCAUUCUGUUUCUCCCCCCGGCAGACCUAGCUAUCCCAUCUUGCUCUUGUUGAACCCAGCAUUCUCUCUCACAGUUGCACAUCUCUGUUCUUCUCCGUCUGCACCUAAAGCUUUUUGAUGGAAAGAAAUCAAGUCCGUUUCCGUUUGCACUUCGUCUCUAUCUGAAUCCCAAGCUUGAUGAUGGAAAGAAUUCCAUUGCAGGAGCGCAGGGUUGAAAUCUAGGGUUUUGUACAAAGAAACUCGAGAAUCAUCCAAGAGAUUCUUCUCUGAGCUGUUGCUAAAUGUAGGCAUCGAUGAGGUGAGAGGAGGAACAACAUAUGAAAUCAAUUUCCAAACGUUGUCUAUAGAUCAAACCACGGGAACAAGGUUUGUGAUGAGAACCCAAUGCCCUAUAAGAGAAAAAGAGGUUUUGCAAUGAGAACCUGAUGCCCUUUUUUUUGGAGAUUUGGACAAAAUCAAUUUCCAAUUGCUGUCUCUAGAACUCAUCAUAGAUUUUUUAUCUACUGGUAUGUAUCGGUUUGCUUGCUCUUUAAUUUCUGAUUAUAUUUUUCUGGUAUGUAUCUGUUUAUUCGAUGUAUUGAUUCAGAGAAAAAGUGCCCAUGUAAUCCACCUUUCCCACCCAUCACUAAUUUUCCAGGUUACUUGUGCUGAAUUGCAAUAUUUUUUAAAUGGAUUUAGAGCACUUAGGUCCUAUCAUGAAGGAGUGAUUCUGUUGACAUAGAAGGCCUUCAACGGAGGAGGUUUCUGUUUUCCUUCAUUUAUUCUGAAGCAUUUUGGUUUCUGCAUUUUUUUUUUUUCUUUUUGUUGUGUGUGUUUCUUCAUGUAAUCUGCUAUGUAAUUCCACCUUUCCCACCCAUCAUUAAUUUUCCAUAGUUACUUGUGCUGAAUUGCAAUCUUUUUUUUUUUUUAAUGGAUUUAGAGCACUUAGGUCCUAUCAUGAAGGAGUGAUUCUGUUGACAAUAGAAGGCCUUCAACGGAGGAGGUUUCUAUUUUCCUUCAUUUAUUCUGAAGCAUUUUGGUUUCUGAAUAUUUUUUUUUUCUUCAUGUAUUCUGCUAUAUGUAUAUGGUGACUACUGUUGCCCUCUCUCUUCUCUUAUUUUUUUAUUCUGGUUUUUUUUUUGGUUUAUAUUAUUUCAGAUCUAAGAACUCUAGGACAAGUCAGAUUUCCAGUUCUUGAACUCUAUAGUUGAUGCUCUCCUUCAUAACCAUAUUCGGCAAGUCAGUUUAUACAAAUAUUCAUAUGUUCUAUUACUUAAUUGUACUUUAGAUUUGUUUCAAAGAGAGUCAACUUAGAUGGUGUUGGGAGGAUGGUCUUGAAGCACAUUGAAGAUUUUGUGCUUACAUUUUCUGUUCCACAAGCCUUCUACACAGUUGCUUCAUCAUCAUAUUCUGUAGCCUUUGCACAAGUAGCUAAAGUAGCACAUAUUAAAGAACCUAGGCUUCUGAAAUGUGGGUUUUUCUCUUUCAUUUUUCAUGUGUAUAUAUAUACACAAAUGUUGCUGUUGAUUGCUUUUGCUAUACUUGUAUGUUCCCCAUUAUUCUUGGACAUUAUUGCCAGUAUGAGAAGUAAAAAUGUAGUGCUCGACUAACCAAAAAAUUUCUAACUCGCUUGUCUAUACAAUUAAUUUUGUAUUGUUUGCAAUCAGAAGAUUUUUGUACCGAUCUUAAGUCAUGUGAUCAUCCUAUACAUGCUAUAUUGAAGCUAAAAACAAUGUUUAGUUUUUUCGCUAGAAAAUCAUGUAUAUUAAUUAUAAGAGAGAAAAAGGAACAAAUAUAUAUGGUGCAUCAAAAAGACGGAGAGCAAAACAGCCCAGGCCUCUCACUAGAAGAGAAAGGAAUGCACAAGCUCCACCUUCGGCAUUGCCAUCAGCAGAGCAAGACACCCACAAACUCCACCACCCAAAACAAGCUUAAAGAAACAUCCUAGAGAAAUCUAGAACGAGGAUGACCAGAGGCAUCCAAUGCUAAAUCCAUCUUCACCAUCGCAGACCAGGCUGUAACCGGCGAAGAGAUUUCAAAUCGAGCUGCUGAUUUUGACAAAAAAAUCCGCAACUGAGUUCGCUUCACGAUAACACAAUAAAAGGAAUCAUUGCAUUAGAAAUGGCUCUAUGGGUGAUGAUAGUUGUGAACCAGGUAAAUUUCUCUCUCUCUUUCUCUGCUGAUAUUGUUUUUAUCAUCAUUGAUCUGGAAUUGAUUAUAUUAGAUUGCAACAUAGGGUUUUAGGACAGUGAUUCAAUGAGUGUUACGAUUAUAAUGUGAAAGGAAGACCUAAAAAAUACUUUUGGUCCCUUUCUUGCCUUUUUAGCUAAUUGAAAACCUCAGUAUUUUAAUUUUACUCCUUAUCAAAUCACCCUGAACAUAUACAUUAUUAGCUUUUCCCCUGCAAUUUAAUGUUCUGCUAUGAACAGAGCAGUUCAUUGAAGAGAAAAAAAGGAGAAUUAAAGGAUAAGUAUUGCUAACACAAUCAAAAGUAAAAAUAAAGGGUGGAGAUGGGUAUCUGAUCAGCGGUGGGUAUGAUCUUAUUCAACAUCAGAUGUAGGUGUCCUUGAUUUCCAUGAUCAAUAACAAAUGACAGUUUCUGCAAACCCCACGGUCAAAUUUUACGUGGUCAUAUAAACUCUGAUAUGUGGCUUAUGGUAAAAUAUUCAUGAUUAUAUAUAGUGAAGGAUGAUAAGCUAUCCCAAUUUCUUGGAGAGCCUAGAGCUUUGAAUUGAACCGCUUUGAAGUCUAUUGGUAUAGAAGCAUAGAAGGCAUGCUGAUUAUUUUUUCCAUGUCAUUUGCUAAAAAAAUUGUUGGCCUUUUUUCCUCUCAAUGCAAAAAAAUGAAUCCAAUGGAACCAAAUCCCAAAAAUAGGAGCAAACAGUUAAAAUUUGUUUUUGCGUAUUACCUGGUAGGCUAAUAGUUGUAGUCUUCCAAGGUUUCCACUGAAUUCAAGCAAUCCAGCAAAGAUCCAAAACCUUAAUUCCUUUCGUACUCUCUUUUCCUCCCCCCACUCCGACAACGUACCUUCUCUCCCUCUUUCUCCAAUUCUGUUUUUGCGGUAUAAUUUUUGGUUCUUAAUUUAUUAAAUCUAUAUUUUGAAUGUCUGAAUUUCUUUGAUGAAAUUAAGCAGACGAAGUCUUUCAUCUUCGACUACUCCAUGUGGUGAUGCAGCUAGGAAGAUUAAAAGUCCAUAAUUAUCCUCCCUUGAGAUAAACCAAAAGAUUCCAGUUUUAACCAUAAACUAUCAUAUUGGGUCUUCUAAUAUCCUGUUUGAUUUGUUUGAGACGUCUUGAACAUGAAUCAACACAUUACACUUGUUAAUCAAUGUUGUAAAUGAUCAAGUUCAUA